rnacentral:rRNA from 1 species
GUUUUUUAGAAAUAAAUUUAAUUUAAAAAUUUUUAAUUUUAUUAAUUAUUUAUAUUAAUUAAUAAAUUUAUUAAUUUAAAUAUUUUAAGGGAUAAGCUUUAAAAUAAAUUUUUAUAAAUAAAUUAAAUAGUAGUUAAAAAUAUAUGCAUAGAAUUAGUAAUUAUUAAAAAUUUUGUUAUAAAUUAUUUUAUAAUAUAUAUAUAUUAUUUAUUUUAAUUUUAAAUUUUUAUAAAAAUAUUUUUUAAAAUUUUUUUUAAUAAGAAAUAAUGAUAAAAUUAGUAUAUUAUAUAAUAUGUAAAAAUAAUUUUAUUUGAUAAGUUUAUAUAAAGAACUCGGCAAAUAUUUUACUCGCCUGUUUAACAAAAACAUGUCUUUUUGAGUUAUUUUUAAAGUCUAACCUGCCCAAUGAAAUAAAAUUUUAAUGGCCGCAGUAUUUUGACUGUGCAAAGGUAGCAUAAUCAUUAGUCUUUUAAUUGAG